AUACUUUUUUAAAAAAAUACAAAAACAGUGUCUUCCCUUAUAUGUGUGAAUGAAAUAUUUGGGGGGGUUGUUUUACCAAAUGCAGAAUGGCCUUAAUUCUCAAAAGUGCAAAGUGAUCCUGAAUGCUUCCAUACUGUGAUGUCAAGGGACUAAGUUUUUGAACAGGUUAGAAUUUCAGUCUGAGGCAUCUUGGAAACAGAGGGACAGAAGCAUAAUCAGUUUGUAAGCUGUCAUAUGUCUCCAUAAGAGGAGCAUGGGCAAUAGAAAUUGGGAAUUUUAGAUAGAUAUUUCAAAUUGGCUUCAAUCCUGGAUAUUUCAUGACUAGAAUUGGUUGAGGAUUUUGAAAUCUUUCCACAGGAAGUGCAUAUUCAAAACAAAAAACAAAACAGAACAGAAAACAAAAGUUGCAUGCUUUGUUUUCAACCAGGAGAAGCUGGUUUUCAAUUACUUACUUGAAAAAUAUUUUUUUUUAAUUUUGAAUCAGUGGAAAUAAUCAUUUAGCAUUUUUCAGACUGAAAAAAAGCAAACUUUUGUUCAAAAUGACCUGAAGAAAUGUGAGUUCCUUACAUUAAAAUUAAUAGCUCAGCUCUGAAGCAAAACAUUUUGGAAUGCUUAAUGUUUUCAAUUUUCAUUUCAACAGCCCCCAAUUUUUUUUUUUUUUCAGGCUGGUGUGAUUCCAAGACUUGCAGACUUUGUUUUUCAUCUGAAAUUGGGAUUUUUUUUCCCUAAGUCUAAAAAAGAAUGUCCUGAGAUUUCAUGAAAUAAGAAGACCAUUUGUAAACGGAGCUUUACUCAUGUUUACAUUCUUUUCCUUAACCAUCCAGUGGCUUCACUAUUCCUGUUGAAAACCUCAAACACACUAUUCAGCUGAGCUGCUACAAUAUAUUCAACUUAACUUCAGGACUUGCCUGCAAACCUUGUUUUAAAACAAGGCAGUACGGAAGGAAUUUCCCAAGUUUAGUAAGGUUCCAGUUCUUGUUUUAUCUUAAAUAAUAAAUAUCUUACAUAAUAACUUAGGUUUGGUCAUGGGAUCUGGCUGCAAAAUGUACCUCUCAUGACCCAAAAGAAGAAGUUAAUGAUUGGAGAUGUCCUUCCAACAAACUCCUCACACUGAGCCAGUUUACUGACAAGAAAUAAGGAUAGUUGCUUGCUUCUGUGCUUGCUUCCUUCUAAUUCAAUAUCCAGAAAAGUCAGCCCAGUAGGACUGAUUUUUUUUCUUUCUUUUCUUUGCAAUAUUGCUAGCCUACCAGGUUAAACGUAGUGAAGUCAGCAGGCCUAGCUGUCCUUGCCUGUGUUGCCAAUAAAGCUGCUCUUAAGCAGCUACCACCUGCAAACUGGGUCCUGUGCCAUCAGUAAACACUGAGUUCCAGUUACGCAGGGCCAGGUGGGUAUCAAAAUCAUGGCAAAUACUCUCUGGAGACAUGUUCCCCAUCACUAAGGAUGAGGGGAGACAGAGGGAAUCCUUCCAGGGGAUAAUCCAGGGAGGCAGUCUCUGGGGAGAUCUCUAGGUAGCUGCUUUGAACAUGCAUUUCUAUUUCCAAGGAAGCUGGAGCAUUAGAUGAGCCUCUACAUAGUUUCUCCAGCCCUUUGUCUGGGAAAACAGAGGAUACAAGAAACACUUGGAUACUGACAUUCAGGCAGGAUUUUGAGUCACUCAGUGGUGAGGAGUUCAACAUUUUUCUCUUGCUCCCAGCUCUGAAGACCCAAGCCAUUGCUUCAGAGUUUAGCGUCCAAAUCCUUAAAAAUCUCUCCUCAGUCAGCAGAUUUUGCUUUGUGUAUUUAAAUGUAUGAAGUAUGUUUGGAGGCAUAAUGACUCCUGUUUCUGUGUUGUUUUGAGCUGUUGCAUUAGUCUGAAUAUAAAGAUUUAUAAGGUUUAUUUUGCAGUCAUCAUUCCAGCCAUCUGCAUUUAGUGUAGGUUAAUAAAACUGUAUUACCUUGCCCUAGCAAAAAAAAGUUCAUGGCUAAAAUAUGCUGUAUAUUUGCCCUGCCUUUUCCUUUUCAUUUCUUCAUAAAUUUCUAUUGCAUUCUGAGUCAGCACAUUUGCCUAAUCUAAUCAGUUGGAGUCUAAUUAAUAAUCCAUAAUUGAAAUGGCCAAGGUGUAAAACAGAAGCAAUACAGUAGCAAAGCAAAUUCCAGUUCUCUUAUUCAUUUCAAUUACUUCUUAUACCAGCUUCUGUUGUCAGCAUGCAUAAUGGAAAUUUAGGGUAAUUACACUGAAAUAGGUCUUCCUUCUUAAAUGCUGCCUAUAUUUGGAAUAUAGGGUCUAUCCCUGAAAGUGUAUGGUGUCCUGAAUUGCAAUGACUUAAGAAAAAAGAGGAUAAUCAGCGCCUUACAGGACUAGGUUCAAACUUAGUUUUUUUAGGUUAGCCUAAGACAAAGAGAGCACGAGUUUAAGGAAUGCCAUAUCGAAUCCUCCAUGCAACUUUAAUUUCCUCGUUUGUCUGUAUUACAACACUGGCUUCAAUAUUUCAAUAUGUAGAAUCCAACUGACACAUGUUGAACCAGACGAACACAUGCAAGGAGAGCUAAAAGUGAAGAAAUUUCAUAUCUGUUACACAGAUCUCUGGCAGGUGCUCCGAGGAACUUCUCAUAAUUGCAGGCUGUCUUUGGCCUGUUCUCUGGCCCUGCUAUCAGUAUUGGUGGAGCAUACAUUUUGCCAGCAAGCUUCACAUAUGCUCAGUAGCAGGAGAGCAUUGUUAAAUUUGGAAUUUGGGGUCUCUUUCUGAUCUGAGGAAAAUACAAGUUGGUGGCUGGACACUAGACUCCUGGCCCCCUUCUGCUCAGCUCCCCGCAGCUCCUUCUGCCUCUGUGUCAGACUUCCUUACCUUCUCCCAUCUGGUGAGUGACCUCCUUCUGCUACUUUAAAUGAUUACCAAAAAUUUUUUUUGCACCUGUCUGUUCCCUGCCACUUCUCUACCACUUCAGGAUCACCAUUCUCUUCUCUGUAUGGUUAAAGACAAUACCAUGUACAUCUUCAUGCACUGAAGAUUUCUCAACUGAGGCCAGUCACAAUAUUCCUUCCAUUCGCGCCCAUCUCAAGCAGCAAGCACUAAAAGGAAGAGUGAAAUUAUGGAAAAUAUGCAGAUGAAAUCACACGUAUCAGUUAUACGAGCCAGAAUUUCAAUGUAUAUCCACAGGUUUCUGGAUGUUUUUAACUAGCACUGUCAAACAACAAUUUUGUCAUUUUUUUUAAAUGCCCUAAGGCCAAAUGACAUUUUAAUCUUGUCACAUUUGACUAAUGAAUGGAGAGGUAAAACUGACACUGUCACUCAGCUGGUUUUGUUGCUCUAAUUUUCUAUCAGAUGCACCAGUCACCUGAAAUUAGGAAAAGUUAUGUUGGUACAGAUGGUUCCUGUGUGCCUGUGUAAAAUCUGCAUACAGCCUCAGCAAUGGUGAUGGUGGAGUGAAACCUUCCAGGAACAUUUCAGUGCAGAAGACCGAACACAGCUGCUGCUACACGGCGUGCAAGACUGAUCUCCAAUACAGAAUUACAGCCAGGAAACCCCAUUAGGGAUGUGAUGUGCCAUCCCUGCCAUAUCUCUGUACCUCCGCAAGGAUCUGAACCCCACAGCCCCUCCUGUCGGGAUCAUUCCUUCCAACCUUUGCUUUUCCAUAUGGCAGAACUGCAAUGAUUUUGAUCUCUGCUUAUUUUAAUGCUGCAGCAUAAGUGUCUGUUUUAAGUUUGCCAUCGAUGAGAAUUUAAUAGAAACAGCUGUAAAAUCCUAAAUACUCCUCGAGUGCUCAGACUGAUUGGGAAAUUAGGGCACUUUGGUGUCCAGCUGUCAGCAGUUUAGGAACAUAACCUCAGGUGCCUUUCUUAGAGAAGCACUUGGUUUCAAGGUGGACGUGGGGCUGUCCACAGUGUAUCAGGCCUUGGCUGAGCCACCGUUAGUGUCCAUCUGCGCGCUCUGAGCCAGUCCCAGCUGUCAGAUGUCGUGCCUUAGCCAAAGCUGCGUCAUGGAGGUGGACACUGUGUUGCUUUGCAUUUCCAACAGCAGCAGCAGCUUGAUCCAGAGGUCUUCUGGCAGUGCCUGGACCUCCAUAUGCAGGCAGGGAGAGCUGCCUGCUUUGUGCCAUAGUCCAGCACUAAUCGUGAGCUAUGAUUUAACAGCUCUGAUUGCAUGUCUGAUUUCCUAGUUGUUGCUAUCUGCAGUGGCUACACCUGCAUUUAGGCACCCGGUGAAGAAGGUCAACAGUCUACGCCUAGUCACUGCUUUUAUGGCAGGUCAGAUUGUGAAGUUGCCCUCUUUCAAUUUCUUUCAUAACUAAACAUUGCCUGAGGCUGUUUUGUGCCAGAGCCACAACUGUUACAAAUAAUUAUAACAGCCCGGUGGCAGCCAGCUGGGCUGGCAUGGGCAGAGGUGGCCCCUUCUGUGCCACCUCCUGCUCUGCAGCACCAGGUGAUGCCUUUACUGUGCCAACACAUGCAAAACAAAAAUAUGGGGGGAGGAUGGAGAAAGAGCCACACAAAGCAGGAUUUUACCCUUCACUGGGUGAAAAAAAGACCAGGCUGUGUGCAUGCAGAAGGGCUGUGCCUGGCAAGUUCUUGCGCAGGCGAGGUAGCCUGCAGUUCCUACCAUGAGCAGGCAAGCCUGGGAGGCCAGGUUGCAACUGGUCUCUAUCUCGCACUUAUCUUUCCAUAGAAAAUAUGCUUGCUCAUUGGUGCAGGAUUAAAUAAGAGAAACUGCUGGGUCACCCCAUUGCUAGAUCCACGUUUUUUUCACGUGCCCAAGGAGCUGGGUAAACUGACUUGAGCUUUGAUCUAAUAGUCAGCAGAACUGCUAGGUACUUUGAGACAGACCAAACCAAUUGCAUAGUGCAAGCAAAAGUUACUUGGCUCCUUCUUAUAAUACUUUUCUGUCAUUUGGAAUAGGAUCAGAAAUCAGAAAGGAGGCCAGAUCCAGACUGUAUAAAUGAAACAUAUAUUUAGUACUGACUUUCUUCUUUCAUGUCCUACAGUAGCUCUGCAAGCUUUUAGAUUGUUUUUCUGUUCUUAUGAGUUUUUAUUCUACAUUCUUAUGUUACUUGAACAUAGACUUUUUACACAGGAAAGCUUUUUUUACUUUUUUCUUUAAGUAGAGAAUUCCUACUGUGCUAUAUUACCCUAGCUGCCAAGUCAGAAGGUGGUCCAGAACAAAGGAAGAAUGGAUCAGUCAUUCUCUGACACACAGUGUUUUCAGUCUUAAUAUUGAAAGCAGGGGGGGGAAAAACAAAAAAAACCCUUUUGUCGGACUAAAGGAAGCUUUGAGAACAGAAGCUUUACAGCUGCCCAAAUCGUUUUCUGUCAGUGAGCAGAACUUGUAACUCUUUCCUCCCAUCAUGUGAAAUAUAAUUUUGUUCUAUUGGUUUUAUGGUACAAACAGCUUCUUAAAAUCCCAUAGGCUAAUGACAUGUCUAGCACAUCAUACAGUUUAAUCCAGUUGCACCUGGUCAGAUCUCAAUAGCCUAUUGCACUCAGGCAUAUUUUACAUCUUAGCCUUGUUUGAAGUCUUCAGAAUAACAGAGUAGUCAUUUCUUCCUCAAUAUAUCUUCGUGACUACUGUUACACCUGUGCCUUAUCACUAAUUUGACUUUGAGGGAAACCUUAAUGCAAAAAAAAAGAAAAGGAAUUUUUCCAAAUAAGAAUGACCAAGAAUCAGUCUAAACUAUUUUUGUGGGAGGUUCUGAAUUAUAAAUGGUUGCAGAAGCUUCAGCUUACCUGAAUUUUCCAUUGACACUGUCACCCUAAGAGCAAUCUGAAAAGAACCAGGUAUUGGUUCUUUUCAAUACAAUGCAAAAGAUCAAAUGGGUUCAAAUCUCUGGUUUUGAUUUCCAUUACAACACUCCCACAAAGCAGGAACAAAGGAGAGGAAGGUCUGCUGAUGCAGGCAGCGGAGCUCUGAGGGCUGAUUUCUGAGGUCUCGAGCUGAACCACUGCAGUACGCAGAUAUCCUAGGGGUGAUCGGGAUCCCACUGUGCUAAUACUUUGCACGGACUGAGGCUUGCGGUAGUCUGCCUGUGCUUCCAAGUGCUUACAAGCUAUGUUAGGACAGCCCCAAAGCUCAUGAAGCUGUUGAAGGCAAGCUGAUCUUAGCCAGUCUACUUCCUCUCUGAGUUGACAUGAGUGUGGCUCUCUAAGAGACAUUUGAAACGGGUAGGGACAUUGGGCUGAAUCCAACCAAUUAACCAGUAGGUGGCCAGCUCUUGUCUAGCUAUUAGGUUCUGCUUAUGUAUAUAUUUAUUAAUCAUAGUUGUUGGAUACAUACAUACCAAUCGCAGUAACUAUUUUAUGCAUUCAGGUUGCUGCAACUUCUUCCCUCAAAAGUGAAGAGAAGAAAGAUCAUGUAUAUUCCUGCUUCUGCCUGCUUACUGGGUAUGGAGUGCCUUCCCAGUACGUUGGAGGCCUAUGCACAGCUCAUCCUUAGCAGUUGCACAGAGCUGCUGUGUAAGUCACCAAGACAACCCAAGCAAGCCCUCAGAGGUAUUGGAAGAAGAUAAGCCUGGAUAUGGAUUUUGCUCAGAUAUGAAUAUGAAUAAAUUGCAUAUCCUUUUGGUAAUGAACCACAUACUGGGCUCUGUAAGUGACAGUGUAGCCAUAAGGCCAAGGAAAGCAUAUGCCCCUCUAUUCAGGACUUCUGAGGCUACAUCCGGAGUGCUGUGUCCAGUUUCGGAUCACCCAGUGGAAGAGAGAUACUGGCAAACUGGAGUCAGUCCAGCAGAGAGCUACUGAGCAGGGGCUACAGGGGCUAGAGCACAUGAUGUACAAGGAGAGGCUCAGAAAGCUGGGUCUGUUUAGCCUGGAGAAGAAAAGGUGAAGGAGAGACCUUAUUGCUGUCUGCAACCACCUAAUGAGUACUUACAGAGAAGAUGGAGCCAAACUCUUCUCAGCACAGCAGAAGGACAUGCAGCAAUGACCACAAGCUGCAACUAUGGAGAUACCAAUCAGAUAUUAGGAAAACUUUUUCAACAGGUUUGAAUCUGACAUUUUGAAAGUCACCCGGCACCACUGAGAAACCUCGACCCUACAGUAGCACAGGAUUUCUUGCGUUGGUGAACUUCCCAGGCUGUUAUUACUUUCAACAGAAAAUUUUUCCAAGAGUCCACGACGAUUUAGCUGACCGUCAAUAUGAAGAUUCAUUACAAGGACUACCUAGUGAUGGCAGCUCUACUAUAACGCAUCGACAGACUUGGGCUUCACAUUUCAAUCUCAGUUUUACAUGUGGAGCAGCGCAAGGAGCAGCAAACUGACUGGCCCAAGAGGCACCUAGCACACCAGGGCCUUUUCCCUCAGCGUGAUCCUUGUCCCCUCGCUGGGACAGGAGGGAACAGGUUGGGGCAAAUGGACCUGUGCGCUGCAGUAGAGGCGCUUCUGCAUCAGAUCUGGUCUGUGCUGGCAUGGUUUGCGGCAGUGACCGCACAAGCUCAGCUCUAGCUGCAUAUAUCCAUACAGAUACAGCCCUGGCUGAUGCUCUCAGAUCUUGACAGAUGUAUCAGCAGGGAUCCAGUAGUGGUAUGCAAAUUGGGGAAAAUUGGCAUUUGUCUCUUCUUCUACACUAGUUUCACCUCAGCUGAUACUUCCCCUGCCUCCAGCACUUCUUCUGCCGCUCCCUUGUGGUUACAUGCCAGUGAACUGUAAAAUAGUACAUAAAAGAAAAGGUAUGUAAAAAGCAGGAAAAAAUCGAUCCUUGCUGAGUGACUCUUCUUACUGUUGUGUAGGUACAUCACAGCUAGCAGUUUGUUAGGGCACAUUAAAUGAGGCCUUUAUUUGCUCCCACAUUUCUCCUCCUGCUGACUCUACCUCUCUCUUCUGCUCUACCCCACUGAAAGAUAAAAGGCCCCAUACUUGCAUGUGAGGGAGGUAAAGAGAGGUGCAAGACCCACAGACAAAUAACAAAAUUAUAGGUAGUAUGAAGGUCUGAGAGAGGUGUUUAAGAUCCAGAGGCAAAGUCCCCCAGACUCUAGUUUAUUUACAUACAAGCAAAUCCAGAGUAGGUGAAGGCCCUCCCCAAAAAUCUCAGCCAAUUUCCUACAGGCUGUGGGCUACUCCAGACCAUCACAUAUGCUGUGGGCAAUGAAAAUAGGGAGAUUUGGGGAGUAUUAUCAAAACCCAGGAGAAUAAGAAACAUUGGCUAAAGACUUUGUUUCAUUUUUUAAAACAACAGCAUUGUAUUGAAGAAGCCCCAAAUCUGAAAGACCCCAUUUUUGGCUCAUUACUUUUACCGUACAGUCCAUUAAUAGCCAAGCAGAUUUUAAGACAAUGAUGAAUCUAAACCUGAUAACCUAAGUGAUGCGCCACUGUGAUAUACAGGGUUCUGGGCAGAAUGAUUUUGCACUUGAAAGGAUCAAGACACUUUCAGGACCUGCUUCCCAUCCUGGGCCCUGUGUGCUGGGUUGGUUAUUUAGAGUGUUUCACCUGCAUGCUGGCAUGCCCAGUAGACAAGUUAGACCAAGUUAUAGGAAAGUCUUAAAUGCAUCUGCAAUCUGAUGAAUAAUUUGCCAUUGCUGGAUAUAUUGAUGAACCAAAACUGAGAGCAACCACAUGGCAAGACAAAUAGCAAGAUAUUCACACUCGUGAUGGCUGUAGGAGUUGCUGGAACAGUGAAUCCACAGCCCACUAACAGUACAAUCAUUUGCAGCAUCUGUAAUGUGCUAGACAAACAGCCAAAAAUGCUAUCAGGAAAAUCUUUGCAACAUGGAGCGAGAAGGGGGAGAGGGAUCACAAAAUCCUCCAAAUAGAUCAGAUUCUCAUUCUGAACACUAUUACACCUGCUGGGACAAAUGCUCCUCUCACGUCUGCUUCUGCAACCUUAUUAUCCUCUCUUGGCCCAUUAUGUUUAAACAAACGAAAGAAAAAAUGGGAAGUAAAAUGAGCAUCUAAGCAACACUAUUUCUAUGAAUUUGCCACAGGUCUCAUAUUAAAUUAGUUUCUCUAGGAUGCUGCAGCUGCUACCUAGAAGAUCAAUCACUUGACUCUCAUUAGAUUUGACAGCUAUAAAUGCUUCUAGAUGCAGAGUCUGGCAGGCUUAGAUCAGUCUCCUUGCAAGUGAAACAUCACGCAUCAGUGUAGGCUUAGGAUAAUUGCCCUAGUCAGCAUCCACAGAGAGCUAAGAGAAAGAUAUUUCACAUUUUGGUAAGUAUGUGUAUUCAAAAAAGAAAAGAAAAGAAGAAAUAAAAAAUUAAAUCUUGGAAAAUAAA